GACGAACGCUGGCGGUGUGCUUAACACAUGCAAGUCGAGCGGUAAGGCCCUUUCGGGGGUACACGAGCGGCGAACGGGUGAGUAACACGUGGGUGACCUGCCCUCAGCUCUGGGAUAAGCCUGGGAAACCGGGUCUAAUACUGGAUAUGACUCCAUGACGCAUGUUGUGGGGUGGAAAGCCUUGUGCGGCUGAGGAUGGGCCCGCGGCCUAUCAGCUUGUUGGUGGGGUGANGGCCUACCAAGGCGACGACGGGUAGCCGGCCUGAGAGGGCGACCGGCCACACUGGGACUGAGACACGGCCCAGACUCCUACGGGAGGCAGCAGUGGGGAAUCUUGCGCAAUGGGCGAAAGCCUGACGCAGCGACGCCGCGUGAGGGAUGACGGCCUGG
rnacentral:rRNA from 1 species